UCCAGGGGGUGGAGAAUUCUGGGCUGAACAGAAUCAUGGACAUUUGGGUUCUGAUGCAGCCAGAAAACAACCGCUCUCGAGGCAUCAAUGACAGCUUCAUCCGUAGGUUCACCCAGCAGAGUCUGGGGGGCUACUUUGGACUGAAGAGUUAAGCUAAAAGAAACAGAGGACCGUGAGUUGGAGGGCAAACUCUCCAUGGUGGAGAAAUACAACAGCCACAUCCCUGAGCUGGUGGAACGCCUCUACGGCUGCACAGAGAGAGAGGCCCAACACGCAGAUUUUAUCCUGGGGACUGUCCAUAAGUCAAAGGGUCUGGAGUUUGACACGGUGGUGAUCACUGAUGACUUUGCUGAGGUUCCCUGUGCCGCCCACAACUUACCUAGACUUUCCAGCUGCUCAG